GAACGCUAGCUACAGGCUUAACACAUGCAAGUCGACCUUUAGGAUGGUCUUAGCUUGCUAAGGCCGAUGGCGACCGGCGCACGGGUGAGUAACACGUAUCCAACCUGCCGUCUACUCUUGGACAGCCUUCUGAAAGGAAGAUUAAUACAAGAUGGCAUCAUGAGUCCGCAUGUUCACAUGAUUAAAGGUAUUCCGGUAGACGAUGGGGAUGCGUUCCAUUAGAUAGUAGGCGGGGUAACGGCCCACCUAGUCUUCGAUGGAUAGGGGUUCUGAGAGGAAGGUCCCCCACAUUGGAACUGAGACACGGUCCAAACUCCUACGGGAGGCAGCAGUGAGGAAUAUUGGUCAAUGGGCGAGAGCCUGAACCAGCCAAGUAGCGUGAAGGAUGACUGCCUUAUGGGUUGUAAACUUCUUUUAUAAAGGAAUAAAGUCGGGUAUGGAUACCCGUUUGCAUGUACUUUAUGAAUAAGGAUCGGCUAACUCCGUGCCAGCAGCCGCGGUAAUACGGAGGAUUCGAGCGUUAUCCGGAUUUAUUGGGUUUAAAGGGAGCGUAGAUGGAUGUUUAAGUCAGUUGUGAAAGUUUGCGGCUCAACCGUAAAAUUGCAGUUGAUACUGGAUAUCUUGAGUGCAGUUGAGGCAGGCGGAAUUCGUGGUGUAGCGGUGAAAUGCUUAGAUAUCACGAAGAACUCCGAUUGCGAAGGCAGCCUGGCUAAGCUGCAACUGACAUUGAGGCUCGAAAGUGUGGGUAUCAAACAGGAUUAGAUACCCUGGUAGUCCACACGGUAAACGAUGAAUACUCGCUGUUUGCGAUAUACGGCAAGCGGCCAAGCGAAAGCGUUAAGUAUUCCACCUGGGGAGUACGCCGGCAACGGUGAAACUCAAAGGAAUUGACGGGGGCCCGCACAGGCGGAGGAACAUGUGGUUUAAUUCGAUGAUACGCGAGGAACCUUACCCGGGCUUAAAUUGCAGAUGAAUUACGGUGAAAGCCGUAAGCCGCAAGGCAUCUGUGAAGGUGCUGCAUGGUUGUCGUCAGCUCGUGCCGUGAGGUGUCGGCUUAAGUGCCAUAACGAGCGCAACCCUUGUUGUCAGUUACUAACAGGUUCUGCUGAGGACUCUGACAAGACUGCCAUCGUAAGAUGUGAGGAAGGUGGGGAUGACGUCAAAUCAGCACGGCCCUUACGUCCGGGGCUACACGCGUGUUACAAUGGGGGGUACAGAGGGCCGCUACCACGCGAGUGGAUGCCAAUCCCAAAAACCUCUCUCAGUUCGGACUGGAGUCUGCAACCCGACUCCACGAAGCUGGAUUCGCUAGUAAUCGCGCAUCAGCCACGGCGCGGUGAAUACGUUCCCGGGCCUUGUACACACCGCCCGUCAAGCCAUGGGAGCCGGGGGUACCUGAAGUGCGUAACCGCGAGGAGCGCCCUAGGGUAAAACU
rnacentral:rRNA from 1 species